UACGAAGGGGGCUAGCGUUGCUCGGAUUUACUGGGCGUAAAGCGCACGUAGGCGGGUCGUUAAGUCGGGGGUGAAAUCCCGGAGCUCAACUCCGGAACUGCCUUCGAUACUGGCGAUCUCGAGUCCGGGAGAGGUGAGUGGAAUUCCGAGUGUAGAGGUGAAAUUCGUAGAUAUUCGGAAGAACACCAGUGGCGAAGGCGGCUCACUGGCCCGGUACUGACGCUGAGGUGCGAAAGCGUGGGGAGCAAACAGG
rnacentral:rRNA from 1 species